rnacentral:ncRNA from 1 species
AAAAAUGCUGAGAACAGAUGAGUAAAUAUUAGUUACAUUUACAGAGAACCACUGGUGAUGAGAAGUGGAAUGCCAACAAUGUUGAAGAUGGUCUGGGAGCAAAUCGAGUGAUGAAUUAAUCUUAAUCAUUCGCGGUUGACACCUGAUAGCGCGGUCCAAGUAUAGCUUUGUUUGUGUACUUGUCGAGGAUAGUAUUGUGAAAUACUAUUAAAUUUGGGGUGGUAACACGCGAAAAGCGUCCCUUAU